rnacentral:rRNA from 1 species
AGCUCAAAUUUGAAAUCUGGCUCUUUUAGAGUCCGAAUUGUAAUUUGUAGAAGCGUUUUCGGUGGCAGCCUGGGUAUAAAUCCUUUGGAAUAGGGUAUCAUAGAGGGUGAGAAUCCCGUCUUUGACUCAGUGCAUGCUACUAUGUGAUACGUUUUCAAA